CCUACGGGAGGCAGCAGUGAGGAAUAUUGGUCAAUGGACGAGAGUCUGAACCAGCCAAGUAGCGUGAAGGAUGACUGCCCUAUGGGUUGUAAACUUCUUUUAUAUGGGAAUAAAAUGUUCCACGUGUGGGAUUUUGUAUGUACCAUAUGAAUAAGGAUCGGCUAAUUCCGUGCCAGCAGCCGCGGUAAUACGGAGGAUCCGAGCGUUAUCCGGAUUUAUUGGGUUUAAAGGGAGCGUAGGUGGAUUGUUAAGUCAGUUGUGAAAGUUUGCGGCUCAAACGUAAAAUUGCAGUUGAAACUGGCAGUCUUGAGUACAGUAGAGGUGGGCGGAAUUCGUGGUGUAGCGGUGAAAUGCUUAGAUAUCACGAAGAACUCCGAUGGCGAAGGCAGCUUACUGGACUGAAACUGACGCUGAGGCUCGAAAGUGUGGGUAUCAAACAGGAUUAGAUACCCCAGUAGUC
rnacentral:rRNA from 1 species